rnacentral:misc_RNA from 1 species
CAUUUUCUGGAAGAAUCUUGCCCCCGUCCGUGAAGGAGGUGGUGAACUCCCGCAUGGUUCCCUUGGUUGGGCUAUUGACGCAGAUUUUGGCUCAUUGGAAAAGUUGAUACAAUUAAUGAAUGCAGAAGGUGCUGCGCUGCAAGGAUCUGGAUGGGUGUGGCUUGCCUUGGACAAAGAAUUGAAGAAGCUUGUGGUUGAGACUACUGCAAACCAGGUAAUUUCACAAGUACUGUUUUAAAGUGAUCAAUGGGUUUCCUUGAACUUCUUAAUUCCUGCUACUUUAAAUUCUUAAUCAUGGAUAACAAACAGUCAACUGAUUGGAUUCCAUAAGAACUGAGCAUGCUACAUCUCUGCAAGACCUCUCAAUUUCUUAUGGAUUCCAUAUGCAAUAGUGAGGUGUGUAGGCUUUAGUUGCAAGCUCUAUGCAUCCCUUGUGCAUACUUUUACAAGUGGCCAUUAUCAUGAUGUGAUGCAUGAGCAUGAAUCUUAUCUUGGACUAAUUUUAAUAUCUUCAGUUCUCUAAUUAUCAAAAUUUUAAGGGCUGAAGCAGGUUGCUGCAGUUGCUGAAUUUCACUUGUCCUCCUAGUUCACUUCUACAUCAGAUGAUGUCAAAUCUUUUGCUUGCUUGCCUCUGUAAAUUUAUUGUUGUGCUGUAAUGUUGACCUAAGGUGCUUGUGGUUCUUGUCACAGGAUCCAUUGGUAACCAAAGGACCAUCUUUAAUUCCAUUGCUUGGUAUUGAUGUUUGGGAGCACGCAUACUACUUACAGGUGAACUUUUGUCUUUAAAUUUUUCAAUGUGGUUUCUUUGUGAUGUUCAGCUUCAUUUUUCCUUUUGAUGAAUAAGAUGAUGUGGUAUUAGAUGAUUUAAUUAUAUUAUUGAUGAUCCUUUCAUUUUGUGAUGACUUUUGAUCAUUAGCACCUUCAAAAUUUAUCUUUAUUGCUAUUGUAGGAUAUCUCUUGCUCAAGAAUGGCUUAUAGCAUCAGUUUAAAGAAAAAUUAACUUUGUUCAUUAGCAAGCAUCAGGAUAAUUAAAAUCUUUAUUUUAUGGACUGAGAAUAUGUGAGCGUAACAGAGUGUUAACAAAGUAAAAUUGUCAUCCUUGUUUUGUGACUGGUGAAAAAUACUAAUAUGCCUUGAACUACAUCAAAGCCAAGGAUUAAUGGUUUGUGUUAUGACUGGUAAAAUGAGUCGGUGAUUUAUUUUGGAACCUUUGGAAUUAAAAUUAAUGUUGCCUUUGUGUGAUGAUUGUGCUUAAAAGGGGUGUCCUAAUGCACAAGGCCUCCUCCAUUGUAGUGUAUCCUUGUGGUUAUAAAGCAACACAGCACUUGAUUGUAGCCAAAACUUGAGACCAUGACUUGCUUUCAUAGUUCAGAACCAUGAUGAACAUUUACAUGGCAUCUUAAGGUUACUUGUCAACUGCAGCCACUUCUUAGUUCAUGAGUUGAGAUAUUCUUAACAAGUGAUAAAAGGUAGAUUAUUCUUUAAUGUCUGCUUGAUCCCAACUUGUACCUAACUUUAAAAAUGUGUUUGAGUGCUAAUGUCGUUCUAGUUGGAUUAGGGUAAGCACUCUCCCUUCUUCUCUCUCGAUUCUGAUGGAACACAUGAUUAUAUAAGCAAAAGAUAUUACACCGAAACUCAUUUGCUAUUGCUCUCUCUCUCUCUCU